UAAGUCCGUUCGGCGGAA
rnacentral:snRNA from 1 species